CAGUGUGAGUUAAAGCAUACAACUGCCUUGGAAAUAAGUUCUCAUUUCUCACUGGUUACUGGCGAGCAGACAACUCUAAGCAAAAAGAGUGUGAGCCCCUCAAACCUCCACAGAGACCUGGGAUAUCUUCCAGCUUAAGCGCCACCAACUUGCGUGUUCCUCUAUCCCCUGAAUUUCCUGCAGAUUGGUAGUUGGACUUCAAUGCUUGAUCAAGUCCAGAUUUAACUACUUCUGAGAACACUUCCUAGGGAAUAUCUUUACCUACUUCCGGUUGCACCAUGAGGACAUACCUAAUGCU